rnacentral:rRNA from 1 species
GGUGACCUGCGGAAGGAUCAUCA